GCCCUUAGAGUUUGAUCCUGGCUCAGAAUCAACGCUGGCGGCGUGCCUAACACAUGCAAGUCGAACGCGAAAGCCCCGCAAGGGGUUAGUAGAGUGGCGCACGGGUGAGUAACACGUGGGUAAUCUACCUGGAAAUGGGGAAUAACCCGCCGAAAGGCGGGCUAAUACCGCAUAACCUCCUUAGGGCGCAGGCCCCGGGGAGCAAAGGAGCAAUUCGUUUCCGGAGGAGCCCGCGGCCGAUUAGCUAGUUGGCGGGGUAACGGCCCACCAAGGCGAUGAUCGGUAUCCGGCCUGAGAGGGCGCACGGACACACUGGAACUGAAACACGGUCCAGACUCCUACGGGAGGCAGCAGUGGGGAAUUUUGCGCAAUGGGGGCAACCCUGACGCAGCAACGCCGCGUGGAGGAUGAAGGGCUUCGGCUUGUAAACUCCUUUCGGCCGGGACGAGUAGAAGACGGUGCCGGCGGAAGAAGCCCCGGCUAACUACGUGCCAGCAGCCGCGGUAAUACGUAGGGGGCGAGCGUUGUUCGGAAUUAUUGGGCGUAAAGCGCGUGUAGGCGGUUCGGUAAGGCGGAUGUGAAAUCCCCGGGCUCAACCCGGGAUCGGCAUCCGCGACUGCCGGGCUAGAGGACAGGAGGGGAGAGCGGAAUUCCCGGUGUAGCAGUGAAAUGCGUAGAUAUCGGGAGGAACACCCGUGGCGAAGGCGGCUCUCUGGACUGUUUCUGACGCUGAGACGCGAAAGCUAGGGGAGCAAACAGGAUUAGAUACCCUGGUAGUCCUAGCUGUAAACGAUGGAUGCUGGGUGUGAGCACUUCAUUGUGUUCGUGCCGGCGCUAACGCAUUAAGCAUCCCGCCUGGGGAGUACGGUCGCAAGGCUGAAACUCAAAUGAAUUGACGGGGAAGGGC
rnacentral:rRNA from 1 species